rnacentral:rRNA from 1 species
AGGUCAGGACACGGUAAGGAUUGACGGACUGAGGCUCUUCUCGAUUCCGUGGAAAGUGGUGCAUCGGUCCGUUUUGGUUGGUGGAUCGAUCCGUCUGGUUAAUUCCGUUAACGAACGAGACCUCGGCACUCCGAAUAGCGCGGCGGACGUCGCGGCCUCCGGGCCGUCUUCCGCACGAGCUUCUUAGAGGGACCGUCCCCCGCCGGGGGAAGGAGGUGCGAGGCAACGACAGGUCUGUGAUGCCCUUAGAUGUUCUGGGCCGCACGCGCAUUACACUGACGCGUCCAACGGGUGACUCCCGACCCGAAGGGGCCGGGGAAUCCGCAAGGCGCGUCGUGAUGGGGAUUGAACGUUGCAAUUGUUGUUCACGAACGAGGAAUUCCUAGUAGGCGCGGGUCAUCAACCCCGCGCCGAUUACGUCCCUGCCCUUUGUACACACCAG